GUUUGCCUGCAGGGUUCGGAGUAUGGGGGUUUAAGUUAGCUUCUGGGCUAUAGCUAACUUAAAGGGAGCCUUAUAUCCCAAUGUCUCCCAUCGUGGAGCAUUGGUGCGGGCACCCACCUAUUAAUUGGGUCCAGAAAGGACUAGCCUCCUGAACGACCCUGCGGGUUUACA
rnacentral:other from 1 species